CCACGCCUUCGACGUGGCGUUUUCUUCGGUUUUACUUCCGGUGGGAGAACCCCAAACUGCCGGCGACUGGGAAUUUGCGGUAUCACAGGGAGAUUUCUAAGAAACCAUUUCUGAAAAGAAAGCAUUUUGGUAUGCAAGUGCAGACAUUUGGCCGGGCGCCAUGGCUCAGGCUUGUAAUCCCAGCACUUUGCCAGGCCAAGGCGGAUGGAUCACGAGGUCAAGAUAUGGAGACCAUCCUGGCCAGCAUGGUGAAACCCUCUCUACUAAAAAUACAAAAAUUAGCCGGGUGUGGUGGCACGUGCCUGUAAUCCCAGCUACUCGGGAGGCUGAGGCAGGAGAAUUGCUUGAACCCCGGAGGCAGAGGUUGCAGUGAGCCGAGAUCACACCACUGCACUCCAGGCUGGUGACAGAGCAAGACUCCAUCUAAAAAAAAUACAAAAAAGAAAGAAAAUGCAGAGAUUUGAAGCAAAAAAACUAUAGAUUUCUUAAACAUUUUUAUGAUAUUUUAGAGACAGAAUUAUCCUACUACUUUUAACUAAGUGGAAUGAAUGUAUUUAUUUGAACAUGGCUCUUGAUAUUUUUAUUGGUUUUGCUUCUUUGAAAUUUCAGAAAACUUUAGUGUUGAAGUUUUCAAUUUGUUAAAAUUUACUUUUAACACCGUUCUUAUGACCUGUUCUUAUCACCGUUCUUACCUGACAGUGAGACUGUUCUAAUAUUUUAAAAAUAUUUUUUCAUAUUUAAAAGUUUUAUUUGGAAAUCUAAAAUUUUUACAAACUGAAGGGAAAGAAAACUAGCCACAAUUAUCAAAAGUAUUAUGAUUGAUUAACAGAAUAUAGUUGUGUAUUACCUAAACAGAAAUCAUACUGAUGUACCUGUUGAUCUAUUAGAAAAAAUACUUUCAAUUACAUUUUGUAGGACAGGCACGGUGGCUUAUGCCUGUGAUGCUAGCACUUUGGGAGGCCAAGGCAGGUGGACUGCUUGAGUCCAGGAAUUUUAGAUCAACUUGGACAACAUGGGGAAAUCCUGUCUCUACAAACAAUACAAAAAUUAGCUGGAUGUGGUGGUACACAUGUGUAGUCCUAACUAAUGGGGUGGCUGAAGCAAGAGGCUCAUUUGAGCCAAGGAGGUCAAGAUUGCAGUGGGCUAAGAUCGUGCCUCUGGACUCCAGCCUCGGUGACAGAGUGAGACCCUGUCUGAACC